GCGGGCGGGGGGGUCAUCAUGGCGGCACCCUACUGCUGCAGGAACGAUACAACAAACAAAAUGAAAAUACUAAAGAAUAAGACCCGUUUAUCUUCCUUGGAACAACAUCCAACUCUGGAUAAAGUAUCUCCGCCACGAUUCCACCACAGAAACAACGACGACAGAACUCAUCCACCGAAACAGACGAGAAAACACGACAGCCAUUCAGCACGUGGAGUAAGCUUGUACCCAAACAUUACAAGCAGGAAGAAGAAGUUUCUAUUUGAACAGGCUACCCCAAACCCAGCCAAUGAUGAGAAACAGAGAAUGGAGAGAGUGAUGAUGCAACGGACCUCCAGAUAAAGAGAAACAACAGAUCACUAUGUGUGCUUUUUGUGCUUAUGCCUUACCUUGCUUAGACCUAGUGUUAGAUGGUAUAUGUAACUCCCAUAAAAAGGAGUAAGAUAACUGUUGCUUUUGAUUUAUGCUUUUGAAAUUUUUAUCUUUGAAUAAAGCCUGCCUUGAGCAGUUUUAACCUUUGUUAACCA